rnacentral:misc_RNA from 1 species
UCCAGGACGCUCAUAGACUCUUAUUACUUUGACCAUAUUUUUAUCUUCCAUCUCUAUUUUGCCAAUUUGUUUAUACAACAUAGAAUAAUAUAUAUCUUUGUUUAAUCCAUGUCAAUAUAUAUAUUAUUUUUUAUAUUAUUUGAAUGUUUUAUUCAAAUAAUAUAAACAUUUAAAAAAUAAAUUCAAGAUUUAAAGUAUAAAAUAAAAACCCUGGCAAUAACUUACUCUCCCGCGAACUCGCAGUACCAUCAGCAAUAAAAGCUAUAAGUGAACAGAGUCUAUGGUGAAUGCCUAGGAGCUUUAAGGCGAAGAAGGUCGAACUUGGUAACUGGGUUUGCUUUG